rnacentral:rRNA from 1 species
CCUACGGGUGGCAGCAGUCGAGAAUCAUUCACAAUGGGGGAAACCCUGAUGGUGCGACGCCGCGUGGGGGAAUGAAGGUCUUCGGAUUGUAAACCCCUGUCAUGUGGGAGCAAAUUAAAAAGAUAGUACCACAAGAGGAAGAGACGGCUAACUCUGUGCCAGCAGCCGCGGUAAUACAGAGGUCUCAAGCGUUGUUCGGAAUCACUGGGCGUAAAGGGUGCGUAGGCGGUUUCGUAAGUCGUGUGUGAAAGGCGCGGGCUCAACCCGCGGACGGCACAUGAUACUGCGAGACUAGAGUAAUGGAGGGGGAACCGGAAUUCUCGGUGUAGCAGUGAAAUGCGUAGAUAUCGAGAGGAACACUCGUGGCGAAGGCGGGUUCCUGGACAUUAACUGACGCUGAGGCACGAAGGCCAGGGGAGCGAAAGGGAUUAGAUACCCUAGUAGUC